rnacentral:rRNA from 1 species
AUUGAACGCUGGCGGCAGGCCUAACACAUGCAAGUCGAGCGGAUGAAGGGAGCUUGCUCCUGGAUUCAGCGGCGGACGGGUGAGUAAUGCCUAGGAAUCUGCCUGGUAGUGGGGGAUAACGUCCGGAAACGGGCGCUAAUACCGCAUACGUCCUGAGGGAGAAAGUGGGGGAUCUUCGGACCUCACGCCAUCAGAUGAGCCUAGGUCGGAUUAGCUAGUUGGUGGGGUAAAGGCCUACCAAGGCGACGAUCCGUAACUGGUCUGAGAGGAUGAUCAGCCACACUGGAACUGAGACACGGUCCAGACUCCUACGGGAGGCAGCAGUGGGGAAUAUUGGACAAUGGGCGAAAGCCUGAUCCAGCCAUGCCGCGUGUGUGAAGAAGGUCUUCGGAUUGUAAAGCACUUUAAGUUGGGAGGAAGGGCAGUAAGUUAAUACCUUGCUGUUUUGACGUUACCAACAGAAUAAGCACCGGCUAACUUCGUG